GUUAUAAGGUUGACUCAGAAACAACAAUAUGCUGGUACCUGGGGAGGCUGGUCCAAAUGGAGCUGUGUGGAAAACUGUAUCGUCAAAUCCUUGAUAAGAACAAGACAAUGUCUAGAUCCACCUGAAGGCCCAAGAGAUUUUGACUGCCUAGGAUUCAGUUAUCAGCUAGACAGAAGCAAAGCCUGCAAUACGAUCUG
rnacentral:sRNA from 1 species